rnacentral:rRNA from 1 species
UACGGGGGGGGCAAGCGUUGUUCGGAAUUACUGGGCGUAAAGGGCUCGUAGGUGGCCAACUAAGUCAGACGUGAAAUCCCUCGGCUUAACCGGGGAACUGCGUCUGAUACUGGAUGGCUUGAGUUCGGGAGAGGGAUGCGGAAUUCCAGGUGUAGCGGUGAAAUGCGUAGAUAUCUGGCGGAACACCGGUGGCGAAGGCGGCAUCCUGGACCGACACUGACACUGAGGAGCGAAAGCCAGGGGAGCAAACGGG